rnacentral:lncRNA from 1 species
AUGAUAAGGCAUGAUCUGGAUAUGACCGAGGUGGUCAACCGCAAGAGACCAAAGUCUGUUCUGGAUGUGAGGUUUCUGAAUCACCAGGAGGACAUUAUUCUUCAACACAAACUGACCCUGUUAGACAUGAGGCACAGGUACACCCUCAGAGUUCUGUGUCAGGAUAGAAUCUCACUGAUGAUGGAACACAGGAAACUACUACUUCUCAAAGUCUGUGAACCUUGUGCCACUAUCAACAAAACCAUGAAAGAGAUAUCCGAAACUAAAAAGGCAAGGAUGGAUCGUGCCGUCUCUGCCUCUGACAACAGACGGUUGAAAUCCAGUAAAUCCCUUUCCAUCGACAGAGGGAAACUAGUCUCAUGUUGGCAGACAUCAAACAGUAAUGUCAUUGUAGAGAAACCUAGAAUGGUUGGGGUUGAGGCUAGAGGAACAUCAAUGCUGAGCUUGAGGAGAUCUCAGUCAGCACAGCCCAAAACUGUACACACUGCCAAUCACAGAGAGACAGAGACAGGACACUCUGCCAAGCACAGAGUGACAGAAACAGCACACUCUGCCAGGCACAGAGCGACACAAGCAAGGGCAGGGCACUCUGCCAAGCACAGAGAGACAGAGACAGGACACUCUGCCAAGCACAGAGCGACACAAGCAAGGGCAGGACACUCUGCCAAGAACAGAGAGACACAAGCAAGGGAAGGGCACUCUGCCAAACACAGAGACACAGAGGCAGGACACUCUGCCAAGCACAGAGAGACAGAGACAGGACACUCUGCCAAGCACAGAGAGACAGAGACAGGACACUCUGCCAAGCACAGAGAAACAGAGGCAGGACACUCUGUCAAGCACAGAGUGACAGAGACAGGACACUCUGCCAAACACAGAGAAACAGAGGUAGGACACUCUGCCAAACACAGAGACACAGAGGCAGGACACUCUGCCAAGCACAGAGAAACAGAGGUAGGACACUCUGCCAAGCACAGAGAAACAGAGGUAGGGGCAGGGGUGUUUUCUAUCAUGCAGCUGAGGCAAAUAUCCACUAUCGACUGUAUCUCAGAAAAGGAGCUAGCCAGCCAACAGCAACAUGCUAGAGGAGAGAAGGAGAGACUCAAACAAUGUCAGCAGGAUAUGCUAAGCCAGAAAAUAAUCAACUUUCUGAAAAAACUUGACAACACUUGUAAUGAGCAGAUAGAAACAUGA